rnacentral:lncRNA from 1 species
GGGAUGGAAGUUUUAUUGUUUCUAAGGAUCCUGUCUGGAGGAGCCAUACAAACUGAUGUCCACUUUUCAUGGCUGUUUGUGAGGUAUCUUUGACGCAUCUACUCAGAGCCCUUUGAGGAUCUUUGUGAUGUCAAUUGCUGAUACAUCUAUGCUGUGCAAUGCCCCCCAAAUGCCAUUGCAUUCUUCCGGCUCUACUGGGGCCUGAGAGUUAUUUAGGCAGAAUCUUCUGAGCUACUACAGC